AAAAAUCUGUGAGGGGAGCCUGCUUGUGCCGGUUAUUGAUUUAUUGCCUCUCAACUCCAAAUUCACCCUUUUUGACUGCACUGUGAAAAUGGAUCUGGGCCUUUUAAAGCAUCAUCUAUUUUCUGCUGCCAUCCAUGAAACAGUAACAGGCCCCAGACUCUUCACAUAUCCUGAAACUACUCGCCUACCUAAGAGAAUCUUGACAUUAUUGGCAUAAUCUCCACCAACGUAUGCCCUUCCUCCCAUGAAAGCAAGCUGAGAGACGGGAUGAGUCAAGUAACAUAAUAAACUUCUGAGAAGAGCCUCUAAGGAGUUUCCUAAGACUGGAGAACAGCAACGGUGUCUUUUGUUAUGUUAAUGAGGUGGGUUUCAGGAAGCACCUAAGAAUGAGGGCUGGGGUACCAGAAAACAACCAUAUGAUGAGAGGGUUGGAACUUUCAGUCCCACCCCUAACCUCCCAGAUGGGAGAGGGGCUGGAGGCUGAAUCAGUUGCCAAUGGUCAAUAAUUUAAUCAACCAUGCCUAUGUAAUGAAGUCUCUAUAAAAACCCAAAAGGACUGGGUUGGGAGAGCUUCCAGGCUGGUGAACACGUGGGCCUAGAGAGGGCGUGGAAACUCCUCAGCCCUCCCAACAUACGUUGCCCUAUGCAUCUCUUCCAUCUGGAUAUUCAUCUGUAUCCUUUAUCAUAUCCUUACUAAACUGAUAAACAUAAGUGUGUGUUUCCCUGAGUUCUGUGAGCCUUCCUAACAAAUUAUCAAACCUGAGAAGGGAGUGAAGGGAACCGCUGAUUUAUAGCCAGUUGGUCAGAAGUACAGAUGACAACCUGGGCUCGCGGUUGGCAUCUAUAGUUGGGGAUGGAGGUGGGUCGCAUCUUGUAGGACUGAGCCCUUAACCUGUGGAGUCUGAUGCUGCCUCUGGGUAGAUAGCAUCAGAAUUGAGCUGAAUUCUCGGAUACCCUGCUGGUGUCUGAGAAUUGCUUGCUGUUGUGUGGGAGCCCCACCUACCCCCACUCCAAAACACACAUGUAGGAAUUGGGUCCAGGAACCCCAAAAAGAGCCAUGGAGAGGUUGGAGCCAGUUAGGACAGUCUGUGUUCAUUUGUGGGUUGGCAGUAGCUUUGUAGUAAGAAAUGCACUUUCCUUUUCUGUGGGCAUGCACCUCAUACAGGCUUAAAGCAUGUACCUGUCAAGGGAUGCUCCCGGGAGACCAAUCUUUGCUAUAUCCAAUCUCACAGAAAAUGCUCAGAACUAAGUCUUGAGAUUGUUUUGCACUGGUUGCUAGAAUCCAGAGUCUCCAGAACACUCCAGGAAGUCAUUCAUCCAAACUCUUCUCGUUUAUUAGAUGAGAAAACUGAGGCCCUAGGAACUGCCCAGCAUUGAGUCUGUAGUUUUUCAUAGAACGGAGUCUAUAGCACAGGUCUCCUGACCCUUGCACUCGCUCUACUCUAAACGUUCAGCCUCCUAGAAGAGCAAUGUCAGGCCACUGUCACAUAGUAAUAGUUCAUAUUGACAGCUAAUGUUUACUGAGAGCUCACCAAUAGCCAAGCCCUGUACAUGGCUUCUCAUUCUUCUGACAGCUCCAUGUGAUGUAGGCACUAGCAUUAUCCCCUUUCUACAGAGAUGGAAAACAAGGACUGAAGAAGUUAAGUAACCAAGGCACAUAGCUACAAAUUGGCAGCUCUGGGAUUUGAACUCCCAUCCUUCCCUCCAGAGGCCUCUCCCUCAACCAAUAUAAUAUGCUUUAUCAUUCACUGUUACAUGUGUUAUGGCUUGCCCAUCCCCUCCUUUUUAACAGAAUUAGAAAAAUAGUUUCCCCCUGCUAUAUAUAGUCCCAUAUGCCAGCACCUGCUCUGCGCAGACACCUAUUUAGCAUGUAUGUGCAAACACCUGUUUUGAGACUGACUCUUCCUAAUCAUCCUUGGCUAUCAGUUUCUGAAGCUACCCACCUCUGAGGAAUGAUGCAAGAAAGGAGAAGGAUAAAAAUAAAAGGGUGAGGCAGUGGGUUUUUAAAUUUUAUUUUGAUUUGUGAAAUUACCAUUAUUAUCUAAAAAUAAUACCUGUCUCCUCUUUCACUGGAAGAAAGUAGCAGUAGCGUUAUAGCUGCUUACAUCUGUGGAAUUCUUAGGUAGUCUAAUUCUAUGGUAUAGGGAGAGCUAUACCAAAAUCAGCUUUGGGAUAAAACUUGGGAGAUGGCGGAGCAGAGACUUCACACAUCCAAUAUGCCUUGUGUUUCCUCAAGUCUCUUCAGAGAUGAAGACCCUCUGACUAUUGGAGAGAAGGCCUCUUGGUUGCAUACUUAUCCUGCUCUUUGGCACAGGGUGGCAUUUAUUAAGCCAACAUUUUGUGAAUUCUUCCUGUGUCCCAGGCAUGUGCUAGGUGCCCUUCAGGAAAUCACACUUACCUGGGAAACCAAGUGGGUGAAUAGAAACUUGCAGUACCAUGUGGUGAUUUCUACAUGGCAACACAUGCAGAGUGCUAGGGAAACCCAGAAGACUUCUUUCAAGAGACGUCAUGGAACCAUAAUGACACGAAAGCAACUAUUUCCCUUCAGAGGAGCCAAAUAGCAGUACCAUCAGGGGAUUUAUUAGUUUUUAUUCUUUGGAAUAGGCAGGGUCACAUAUUGAUCAUGAAUAGAUGUUUGU